UGGGGAAUAUUGCGCAAUGGGCGAAAGCCUGACGCAGCAACGCCGCGUGUGGGAUGACAGCUUUCGGGUUGUAAACCACUUUCAGGGAUGACGAAAAUGACGGUAAUCCCAGAAGAAGCUCCGGCCAACUACGUGCCAGCAGCCGCGGUAACACGUAGGGAGCAAGCGUUGUCCGGAUUUAUUGGGCGUAAAGAGCUCGUAGGCGGUUUCGUAAGUCGGAUGUGAAAACUCAGGGCUCAACCCGGAGACGCCAUCUGAUACUGCGAUGACUAGAGUCCGGUAGAGGAGCAUGGAAUUCCUGGUGUAGCGGUGGAAUGCGCAGAUAUCAGGAGGAACACCAACGGCGAAGGCGGCUCACUGGACCGGUAUUGACGCUGAGUGAGCGAAAGCCAGGGGAGCAAACGGGAUUAGAUACCCCCGUAGUCCCUGAGCGGGCUGGCAAGGCGCAU
rnacentral:rRNA from 1 species